rfam:Coniochaeta ligniaria NRRL 30616 unplaced genomic scaffold CONLIGscaffold_1, whole genome shotgun sequence.
GGGGAUGUAGCUCAUCUGGUAGAGCGCGUGCUUAGCAUACAACUCGGUUCGAGCGAUCGGCCGAGCAACAUGCUCCUGCACGAGGUACUGGGUUCGACUCCCAGCUUCUCCA